AUUGAACGCUGGCGGCAGGCCUAACACAUGCAAGUCGAGCGAGCGGAGGAAGGGUGAGUAAUGUAUGGGGACUGCCCGAUAGAGGGGGAUAAAGACUGGAAACGGUGGCGAAUAACGCAUACAGUCGGAUAACCCAUAUGGUAUUAGCUAGUAGGUAAGGUAAGGGCUUACCUAGGCGACGAUCCCUAGCGGGUCUGAGAGGAUGAUCAGCCACACUGGGACUGAGACACGGCCCAGACUCCUACGGAGGCAGCAGUGGGGAAUAUUGCACAAUGGGCGCAAGCCUGAUGCAGCCAUGCCGCGUGUAUGAAGAAGGCCCUAGGGUUGUAAAGUACUGUCAGUCGGGAGGCGUUACCGACAGAAGAAGCACCGGCUAACUCCGUGCCAGCAGCCGCGGUAAUAC
rnacentral:rRNA from 1 species